UAUCUCUGUAGAGUCUGCAUAUCAAUAAGCGGAGGAAAAGAAACUAACUAGGAUUCCCUUCAGUAACGGCGAGUGAAGCGGGAAGAGCUCAAAUUUGAAAUCUUCAAGGUUCUACCUUGACGAAUUGUAGUUUAAAGAAGUGUUUUCUGUUGGUAGUUUUGGUAAAAGUUCUUUGGAAUAGGACAUCAUAGAGGGUGAGAAUCCCGUAUUUGACCAUUACUUCCAGCGUUGUGAUACACUUUCAAAGAGUCGGAUUGUUUGGGAAUGCAGUCCAAAAUGGGUGGUAAAUUUCAUCUAAAGCUAAAUAUUGGCGAGAGACCGAUAGCGAACAAGUACCGUGAGGGAAAGAUGAAAAGAACUUUGAAAAGAGAGUUAAACAGUACGUGAAAUUGUCAAAAGGGAAGCGUUUGACACCAGUGUUGUUUUUCCGAAAAUCAAUUACGAAUGGCUUGAUUCUGUGUUGUAUUGACCUUAUCAGCUUUCUUCACUUUUUUCGAGUCUUUCUUAAUGCACUUUUCGGUUAACAAGUCAACAUCAAUUUCUUUUGUUGUAAAAGAGUAUUCGGAAGGUGGCUUUCUUUUCGGAGAAAGUGUUUAUAGCCCUAUACUUCUACAAUCGGAGAGAUUGAGGUCUGCAGCGUAGAUCCUUCGGGGUUAGAUACACUUGUGCUAAGUUGUAGCUUUUCAUAGACAACUUGUUGACUAUGUUUAGUCAUGCGGCUUACUCGCUUGUGCUAUUUUACCUACGCUUAGGAUGUUGAAGAUGUAGCACAUCAU
rnacentral:rRNA from 1 species